ensembl:lncRNA
GUCAGGGUUGGGCAGCAGCCAAAGCUGCCACCAGUCUCCCUUCCCCAGCUGCCGGCGGACUCUGGACAGGGAGCCGGCAGCCCCAGGAAGCCUUCGUGGUGGAGACCCAGAGCCAGACACCGGCCCUCACAUCACCUCCCCUCCUGCUCGGCUGCCCUCAUUCUUUGGAUCCCUAGGCUGACACUCCCGCCGGCCCUUCAUCUUCCCUUACUGAUCCCAGAACGAGGGACGGAGCGAGCACCUCCACGCUACAAAUCCAGCCCCGUGUCCUGCAGAUGCAGCGGUCCUGGCUGCAGGUUUGGGGGAGUCCAGCGGGGAGGCCCCCGGGGCCAGCAGAGCCUCCCAGAGACGCCGCCCCCCCCCCCCACUGGCCGGUGCCAGCACGUAGCCCGAGCCCCGCUUGUCCAGACCCGGGGCUCCUCACACCGCCUUCUCAGGGGCAGACGCACACCGCCCACGUCCCGUGGGGGUGACUCGGGCUGUACUUGGGCCCGGGCUCCGAGCCCAGCAUCGCCCCACCCCCCCCCCCCGAGAAGAGAAGGGAGGCUCUUGGCCUCCAGAGCCCUGCCGCAAACCCCGGACCCGAGCCCGGCUUCCCAUCUACGAAGCGGAGGAAGGAACGCCCGCCUGGCGAGACCGUUGGCAACACUGGGUGCCAUAUUCACGCGACGCGUUCAGCAGAGUCUGGUCCACGGUUCCUACAUUCCAGAAUACCCUCUGCAACUGUGGGACCAAUCUCGCAUGAGCCACGAGCCGGCUCCCUGGGUG